UUCGUUAGAUAUGACAAGGUUAGACUCCAAUUCCCUCGUGCCUUUAUUAUCUUAGUUUGUGAUGCAGCAAAUGGGAUAAGCAUUUUUGUUGUUUUCAUCCAUGCUUUUUGCUACUUUCUCAGGAAGUUUUUGGAAUGCCGCGAACCGCCUCCUAUAAAGUGCUUGGCAAUUGAAGGCGACGCGUAAACGCCGAAUACCAGUGAGAGUGGUUAAGGAUGCAAGUAGUGACAUUACUGAAAUUGGAGAGACAAAAAAAUGGGAUAUAUGGAACUGCAGACCCCAUUUUUCAAGAGCAAAGAUAUCAAGUGAAAGAGUGCUCAAAACUGUUUAUGGGCCAUAUAGAGUUUGUUGCAAUCCGUGCUUGUGUUUUUUUAAGAUAAGUUGAUGUUUCUGUGACUGAACAUUCUUUUAGUUACUCUACUGCCAAGCUAAUCUCUGUCAUUGUUCAGAGUCUUCCUUUAAAUUAGAAUAGUUAGAAUAUUUCAUUUAUUUUUUAUCUUUUAUACUGGAUACACUUGCAUUCUUAUCAAAAAUUACAUAUUUAUUCACAUAAAUAUUACAUCAGGUGCUUCAUACAUAUCUCCAGAAUUCUUCUACCUUGUAAUUGUUUUUGUCACCUAAUUGCAGCAAAUACUAGCAUCUCAGAAAACAACUUAAUAAUAUGUAAGAUUGACUCAAAUUGUCACGCAAGGGGCUGUAGCGUCACCUUUGCUUGUACUAUUAACAGGACCCUUUUACAUUACAUUUUGGCAUUAUAUUAAUGUGUCCUUCCUUGUUCAUGAUCUGAGCUUUUAUUUUAUUUUAUUUCAUAUUAGGCUAAGAGGAUGCUCAAAAAUCUUCUUCCAAUAUGUCAUGAUUUUUAAGCACCAUUUACCCCUGCUUUUUAUAAAAGAAAGUUGACUAGUUUAUAUGAAUCUGAUGAAUGUAGAUGAUUCAAUUCUAAGUUUGAUCAAUUUGUGUUUUGUCAGUUUCAGUUUCAGUCACGGCAAUUCAAGAGCCAGCCAAAUGGUCAUGUCUAUGGCUAGAAGGGGCAUGACCAUAGGAGAAGAUGAGGUUGUCACUACUCGCCAACCCCUUCUUCUCAUAUGGCCAUGGGCCCUCCCUGGCCAUGGAUCUGGACCUCCUCUCAUCUUUCUGCUUGAUCAUGAUAAUUGACGUGUGUUUAGCAUGGUCAACAAAGAGGACUUCGAGCGGGUUAAAGCCAGAACUACUAGGCGUGUUAAGAUUGUAUUCAUAUACGUACAAGAAAUUAGAGUGGUUCAACGUACUUUAAUUGUACUGCAUUCAUUUAGCAGUAUACUUUGUAUUGGUUUUGUUUGCAAAAAGUUGGGCACACUCUAAGAUGAUAAUUAUCUUGAAAUUUAAAGCCUCUAAAACUUUAUAA